GAUGAACGCUGGCGGCGUGCCUAAUACAUGUAAGUCGAGCGAACGGACGAGAAGCUUGCUUCUCUGAUGUUAGCGGCGGACGGGUGAGUAACACGUGGAUAACCUACCUAUAAGACUGGGAUAACUUCGGGAAACCGGAGCUAAUACCGGAUGAUAUUUUGAACCGCAUGGUUCAAAAGUGAAAGACGGUCUUGCUGUCACUUAUAGAUGGAUCCGCGCUGCAUUAGCUAGUUGGUAAGGUAACGGCUUACCAAGGCAACGAUGCAUAGCCGACCUGAGAGGGUGAUCGGCCACACUGGAACUGAGACACGGUCCAGACUCCUACGGGAGGCAGCAGUAGGGAAUCUCCCGCAAUGGGCGAAAGCCUGACGGAGCAACGCCGCGUGAGUGAUGAAGGUCUUCGGAUCGUAAAACUCUGUUAUUAGGGAAGAACAUAUGUGUAAGUAACUGUGCACAUCUUGACGGUACCUAAUCAGAAAGCCACGGCUAACUACGUG
rnacentral:rRNA from 1 species